GACGAACGCUGGCGGCGUGCUUAACACAUGCAAGUCGAACGAGUGGCGAACGGGUGAGUAACACGUGGGUUAUCUGCCUUGCACUUCGGGAUACGCUUGGGAACCUGGGUCUAAUACCGGAUAGUGCAAGAUGAGCUCGCGGCCUAUCAGCUUGUUGGUGGGGUACUGGCUACACAGGCGCGACGGGUAGCCGGCCUGAGAGGGUGGACGGCCCCAUUGGGACUGAGAUACGGACCAGACUCCUACGGGAGGCAGCAGUGGGGAAGAUUGCACAAUGGGCGGAAGCCUGAUGCAGCGACGCCGGGUGGGGAAUGAAGGCCUUCGGGUUGUAAACUCCUUUCGACAGGGACGCGGUACCUGUAUAAGAAGCACCGGCUAACUACGUGCCAGCAGCCGCGGUAAUAC
rnacentral:rRNA from 1 species